AGAGUUUGAUCCUGGCUCAGGAUGAACGCUGGCGGCGUGCCUAACACAUGCAAGUCGAACGAUGAAACCGCCCUCGGGCGGACAUGAAGUGGCGAACGGGUGAGUAACACGUGACCAACCUGCCCCUUGCUCCGGGACAACCUUGGGAAACCGAGGCUAAUACCGGAUACUCCUCGCCCCCCUCCUGGGGGGCCCGGGAAAGCCCAGACGGCAAGGGAUGGGGUCGCGGCCCAUUAGGUAGUAGGCGGGGUAACGGCCCACCUAGCCCGCGAUGGGUAGCCGGGUUGAGAGACCGACCGGCCACAUUGGGACUGAGAUACGGCCCAGACUCCUACGGGAGGCAGCAGUGGGGAAUUUUGCGCAAUGGGGGAAACCCUGACGCAGCAACGCCGCGUGCGGGACGAAGGCCUUCGGGUUGUAAACCGCUUUCAGCAGGGAAUAUAGUGAAGGUACCUGCAGAAGAAGCUCCGGCUAACUACGUGCCAGCAGCCGCGGUAAUACGUAGGGAGCGAGCGUUAUCCGGAUUCAUUGGGCGUAAAGCGCGCGUAGGCGGCCCGUCAAGCGGAACCUCUAACCCGAGGGCUCAACCCCCGGUCGGGUUCCGAACUGGCAGGCUCGAGUUUGGUAGAGGAAGAUGGAAUUCCCGGUGUAGCGGUGGAAUGCGCAGAUAUCGGGAAGAACACCGAUGGCGAAGGCAGCCUGCUGGGCCGCAACUGACGCUGAGGCGCGAAAGCUAGGGGAGCGAACAGGAUUAGAUACCCUGGUAGUCCUAGCCGUAAACGAUGGAUACUAGGUGUGGGGGGCUCCGCCCUCCGUGCCGCAGCCAACGCAUUAAGUAUCCCGCCUGGGGAGUACGGCCGCAAGGCUAAAACUCAAAGGAAUUGACGGGGGCC
rnacentral:rRNA from 1 species